AGUCACCUGGGAAGAAUCUCGCUGAGGAAUGGUCUAGAUUAGGCUGGCCUGUGGUCCUACCUGUGAGGAUGUUUUUAACUGGGCAACUGAGGUGGGAAGUCCCACCCUGAGUGCUGGUGCCAUUUCAUGGACUGGGAAAUGGAGGGAAUAAGACGGAGAAAAGAAGCAGAGUCCCGGGAGGUUCACGUCUAUCGCCUUCCGCAUACAGAGUGAGACUGCAUCUAUAGAGUGACUAGCUCUCUCCCGCUCCUACCACUGUGCUUCCCUGCCCUGAUGGAGUAUAACCUGGACUUGUUACUAAGCAUUCACCGAAACCACGCUGUGAGCAUCGGUCCCCCAGAAGAGCAGAGCAAAACGCCAUAUGCACCAGAACAGAAGCCCCCACAGUUCCCAAGGCACACAAAGCUGGCGGGCUACACUCAAGAGUCCAUAUGCACCCUUGUCAUGAGACCACAACGCUCUGCCGAACUUGGAACAGAACUUUCCCUUUCACUUCUAGUUAGCAAAUACAUCACAUACGAAUUGUCAGCGAGUCACAGAACCAACCUUCUGAACCAGGAUAAUUCCCCGAGUUCCAAACCUCAGUCUCCUUAAGUUAGAGAAUAGAGGAGGGAUCUAUCCUGAGAUAGACGACAUCUAUCUCUGGUUAUUCUGCAUACCUCUGCACUACCCUAGAGAUGUCUCUGAAGCUCAGAGGUUUGUGGGGGAAACGCAGUCUGAAAAUCAUGGCAGCCUUUCCUUCGCUUGCUUCCACUGACUUCUGACUCACUUUGAAAGUCUUGGUAGAAUUUUGAGCCUCAGUGAAGGAGGAAAACAGGAAAACAGCUUUCGAUGACUGAAGCGCCUUUGUUGCUUUCAGUGACAGAGGAUGAUAAGAAAGGAAGCCAGGGCUGGUGAGAUGGCUCAGUGGGUAAGAGCACCCGACUGCU